UCCCUUGUGGCUCAGUUGGUAGAGCAUGGUGCUUGUAAUGCCAGGGUUGUGGGUUCGAUUCCCACGGGGGAC
rfam:Salmo salar isolate Sally breed double haploid chromosome ssa12, whole genome shotgun sequence.